CUAGCGGCAGGCUUAACGCAUGCAAGUCGAGGGGCAGCAUGUCCAGCAAUGGAUGAUGGCGACCGCGGGAAGGGUGCGUAACGCGUGAGCAACAUGCCCUAUACAGGGAGAUACACCAGGGAAACUUGGUCUAAUAUCCCAUAGCAUUCAUUGAAGGCAUCUUUAAUGAAUUAAAGCUUCGGUGGUAUAGGAUUGGCUCGCGUGACAUUAGCCAGAUGGUGAGGUAACGGCUCACCAUAGCAAUGAUGUCUAGGGGUUUUGAGAGGAAGGCCCCCCACACUGGGACUGAGACACGGCCCAGACUCCUACGGGAGGCAGCAGUGAGGAAUAUUGGACAAUGGAUGGAAAUCUGAUCCAGCCAUGCCGCGUGCAGGAAGACGGCCUUAUGGGUUGUAAACUGCUUUUAUACGGGAGCAAUAAGGGUUACGAGUAAUCCGAUGAGAGUACUGUAUGAAUAAGGAUCGGCUAACUCCGUGCCAGCAGCCGCGGUAAUACGGAGGAUCCGAGCGUUAUCCGGAAUUAUUGGGUUUAAAGGGUGCGUAGGCGGCCAUUUAAGUCAGCGGUGAAAUUUUGCAGCUUAACUGUAACAGUGCCGUUGAUACUGUUUGGCUAGGAUUUGGUUGUAGUGUGCGGAAUGUGUGGUGUAGCGGUGAAAUGCUUAGAUAUCACACAGUACACCGAUUGCGAAGGCAGCACACUAAGUCAUUAUUGACGCUGAGGCACGAAAGUGUGGGGAUCAAACAGGAUUAGAUACCCUGGUAGUCCACACUGUAAACGAUGAUAACUCGCUGUCGGCGAUACACAGUCGGUGGCCAAGCGAAAGC
rnacentral:rRNA from 1 species